GACGAACGCUGGCGGCGUGCUUAACACAUGCAAGUCGAACGGAAAGGCCUCUUUCGGGGGGUACUCGAGUGGCGAACGGGUGAGUAACACGUGAGUAACCUGCCCUUGACUUUGGGAUAACUUCAGGAAACUGGGGCUAAUACCGGAUAGGAGCUCCUGCUGCACGGUGGGGGUUGGAAAGUUUCGGCGGUUGGGGAUGGACUCGCGGCUUAUCAGCUUGUUGGUGGGGUAGUGGCUUACCAAGGCUUUGACGGGUAGCCGGCCUGAGAGGGUGACCGGCCACAUUGGGACUGAGGUACGGCCCAGACUCCUACGGGAGGCAGCAGUGGGGAAUAUUGCACAAUGGGUGGAAGCCUGAUGCAGCAACGCCGUGUGCGGGAUGACGGCCUUCGGGUUGGAAACCGCUUUCGCUCAUGACGAAGCUUUGUGUGACGGUAGUGGGUAAAGAAGCACCGGCUAACUACGUG
rnacentral:rRNA from 1 species